rnacentral:rRNA from 1 species
CUACGGGAUGCUCCAGUGGGGAAUAUUGCACAAUGGGCGCAAGCCUGAUGCAGCCAUGCCGCGUGUAUGAAGAAGGCCUUCGGGUUGUAAAGUACUUUCAGCGGGGAGGAAGGGAGUAAAGUUAAUACCUUUGCUCAUUGACGUUACCCGCAGAAGAAGCACCGGCUAACUCCGUGCCAGCAGCCGCGGUGAAUACGGAGGGUGCAAGCGUUGAUCGGAAUUACUGGGCGUAAAGCGCACGCAGGCGGUUUGUUAAGUCAGAUGUGAAAUCCCCGGGCUCAACCUGGGAACUGCAUCUGAUACUGGAAAGCUUGAGUCUCGUAGAGGGGGGUAGAAUUCCAGGUGUAGCGGUGAAAUGCGUAGAGAUCUGGAGGAAUACCGGUGGCGAAGGCGGCCCCCUGGACGAAGACUGACGCUCAGGUGCGAAAGCGUGGGGAGCAAACAGGAUUAGAUACCCCCGUAGUC